rnacentral:lncRNA from 1 species
UACGACUAUUUCAACAACUCCUAUACCAGAUGGAAUUUUUGGAAGUUUUAGAAUAACAACAUUAAAAAUCAUUCUGAAUAAAUAUCAAUUCACCUAA